GGGUUGUGAGGUUAAGCGACUAAGCGUACACGGUGGAUGCCCUGGCAGUCAGAGGCGAUGAAGGACGUGCUAAUCUGCGAUAAGCGUCGGUAAGGUGAUAUGAACCGUUAUAACCGGCGAUUUCCGAAUGGGGAAACCCAGUGUGUUUCGACACACUAUCAUUAACUGAAUCCAUAGGUUAAUGAGGCGAACCGGGGGAACUGAAACAUCUAAGUACCCCGAGGAAAAGAAAUCAACCGAGAUUCCCCCAGUAGCGGCGAGCGAACGGGGAGGAGCCCAGAGCCUGAAUCAGUGUGUGUGUUAGUGGAAGCGUCUGGAAAGGCGCGCGAUACAGGGUGACAGCCCCGUACACAAAAAUGCACAUAUUGUGAGCUCGAUGAGUAGGGCGGGACACGUGGUAUCCUGUCUGAAUAUGGGGGGACCAUCCUCCAAGGCUAAAUACUCCUGACUGACCGAUAGUGAACCAGUACCGUGAGGGAAAGGCGAAAAGAACCCCGGCGAGGGGAGUGAAAAAGAACCUGAAACCGUGUACGUACAAGCAGUGGGAGCCUCUUUUAUGGGGUGACUGCGUACCUUUUGUAUAAUGGGUCAGCGACUUAUAUUCUGUAGCAAGGUUAACCGAAUAGGGGAGCCGAAGGGAAACCGAGUCUUAACUGGGCGUUAAGUUGCAGGGUAUAGACCCGAAACCCGGUGAUCUAGCCAUGGGCAGGUUGAAGGUUGGGUAACACUAACUGGAGGACCGAACCGACUAAUGUUGAAAAAUUAGCGGAUGACUUGUGGCUGGGGGUGAAAGGCCAAUCAAACCGGGAGAUAGCUGGUUCUCCCCGAAAGCUAUUUAGGUAGCGCCUCGUGAACUCAUCUCCGGGGGUAGAGCACUGUUUCGGCAAGGGGGUCAUCCCGACUUACCAACCCGAUGCAAACUGCGAAUACCGGAGAAUGUUAUCACGGGAGACACACGGCGGGUGCUAACGUCCGUCGUGAAGAGGGAAACAACCCAGACCGCCAGCUAAGGUCCCAAAGUCAUGGUUAAGUGGGAAACGAUGUGGGAAGGCCCAGACAGCCAGGAUGUUGGCUUAGAAGCAGCCAUCAUUUAAAGAAAGCGUAAUAGCUCACUGGUCGAGUCGGCCUGCGCGGAAGAUGUAACGGGGCUAAACCAUGCACCGAAGCUGCGGCAGCGACACUAUGUGUUGUUGGGUAGGGGAGCGUUCUGUAAGCCUGUGAAGGUGUGCUGUGAGGCAUGCUGGAGGUAUCAGAAGUGCGAAUGCUGACAUAAGUAACGAUAAAGCGGGUGAAAAGCCCGCUCGCCGGAAGACCAAGGGUUCCUGUCCAACGUUAAUCGGGGCAGGGUGAGUCGACCCCUAAGGCGAGGCCGAAAGGCGUAGUCGAUGGGAAACAGGUUAAUAUUCCUGUACUUGGUGUUACUGCGAAGGGGGGACGGAGAAGGCUAUGUUGGCCGGGCGACGGUUGUCCCGGUUUAAGCGUGUAGGCUGGUUUUCCAGGCAAAUCCGGAAAAUCAAGGCUGAGGCGUGAUGACGAGGCACUACGGUGCUGAAGCAACAAAUGCCCUGCUUCCAGGAAAAGCCUCUAAGCAUCAGGUAACAUCAAAUCGUACCCCAAACCGACACAGGUGGUCAGGUAGAGAAUACCAAGGCGCUUGAGAGAACUCGGGUGAAGGAACUAGGCAAAAUGGUGCCGUAACUUCGGGAGAAGGCACGCUGAUAUGUAGGUGAAGUCCCUCGCGGAUGGAGCUGAAAUCAGUCGAAGAUACCAGCUGGCUGCAACUGUUUAUUAAAAACACAGCACUGUGCAAACACGAAAGUGGACGUAUACGGUGUGACGCCUGCCCGGUGCCGGAAGGUUAAUUGAUGGGGUCAGCGCAAGCGAAGCUCUUGAUCGAAGCCCCGGUAAACGGCGGCCGUAACUAUAACGGUCCUAAGGUAGCGAAAUUCCUUGUCGGGUAAGUUCCGACCUGCACGAAUGGCGUAAUGAUGGCCAGGCUGUCUCCACCCGAGACUCAGUGAAAUUGAACUCGCUGUGAAGAUGCAGUGUACCCGCGGCAAGACGGAAAGACCCCGUGAACCUUUACUAUAGCUUGACACUGAACAUUGAGCCUUGAUGUGUAGGAUAGGUGGGAGGCUUAGAAGUGUGGACGCCAGUCUGCAUGGAGCCGACCUUGAAAUACCACCCUUUAAUGUUUGAUGUUCUAACGUAGACCCGUGAUCCGGGUUGCGGACAGUGUCUGGUGGGUAGUUUGACUGGGGCGGUCUCCUCCUAAAGAGUAACGGAGGAGCACGAAGGUUGGCUAAUCCUGGUCGGACAUCAGGAGGUUAGUGCAAUGGCAUAAGCCAGCUUGACUGCGAGCGUGACGGCGCGAGCAGGUGCGAAAGCAGGUCAUAGUGAUCCGGUGGUUCUGAAUGGAAGGGCCAUCGCUCAACGGAUAAAAGGUACUCCGGGGAUAACAGGCUGAUACCGCCCAAGAGUUCAUAUCGACGGCGGUGUUUGGCACCUCGAUGUCGGCUCAUCACAUCCUGGGGCUGAAGUAGGUCCCAAGGGUAUGGCUGUUCGCCAUUUAAAGUGGUACGCGAGCUGGGUUUAGAACGUCGUGAGACAGUUCGGUCCCUAUCUGCCGUGGGCGCUGGAGAACUGAGGGGGGCUGCUCCUAGUACGAGAGGACCGGAGUGGACGCAUCACUGGUGUUCGGGUUGUCAUGCCAAUGGCACUGCCCGGUAGCUAAAUGCGGAAGAGAUAAGUGCUGAAAGCAUCUAAGCACGAAACUUGCCCCGAGAUGAGUUCUCCCUGACUCCUUGAGAGUCCUGAAGGAACGUUGAAGACGACGACGUUGAUAGGCCGGGUGUGUAAGCGCAGCGAUGCGUUGAGCUAACCGGUACUAAUGAACCGUGAGGCUUAACCUUACAACGCCGAAGCUGUU
rnacentral:rRNA from 1 species